UACAGAGGUCUCAAGCGUUGUUCGGAUUCAUUGGGCGUAAAGGGUGCGUAGGCGGCGCGGUAAGUCGGGGUGUGAAAUCUCGGAGCUUAACUCCGAAACUGCAUUCGAUACUGCCGUGCUUGAGGACUGGAGAGGAGACUGGAAUUUACGGUGUAGCAGUGAAAUGCGUAGAUAUCGUAAGGAAGACCAGUGGCGAAGGCGGGGUCUCUGGACAGUUCCUGACACUGAGGCACGAAGGCCAGGGGGAGCAAACGGGG
rnacentral:rRNA from 1 species